GGGGGCAACCCCUUGAGAGUGGCGAACGGGUGAGUAAUGUAUCGGAACGUGCCCAGUCGUGGGGGAUAACGUAGUGAAAAUUACGCUAAUACCGCAUACGAUCUAUGGAUGAAAGCGGGGGAUCGCAAGACCUCGCGCGAUUGGAGCGGCCGAUAUCAGAUUAGGUAGUUGGUAGGGUAAAGGCCUACCAAGCCAACGAUCUGUAGCUGGUCUGAGAGGACGACCAGCCACACUGGAACUGAGACACGGUCCAGACUCCUACGGGAGGCAGCAGUGGGGAAUUUUGGACAAUGGGCGAAAGCCUGAUCCAGCCAUUCCGCGUGCAGGAUGAAGGCCCUCGGGUUGUAAACUGCUUUUGUACAGAACGAAAAGGUUUCUAUUAAUACUAGGAGCUCAUGACGGUACUGUAAGAAUAAGCACCGGCUAACUACGUGCCAGCAGCCGCGGUAAUACGUAGGGUGCAAGCGUUAAUCGGAAUUACUGGGCGUAAAGCGUGCGCAGGCGGUUAUAUAAGUCAGAUGUGAAAUCCCCGGGCUCAACCUGGGAACUGCAUUUGAGACUGUAUAGCUAGAGUACGGUAGAGGGGGAUGGAAUUCCGCGUGUAGCAGUGAAAUGCGUAGAUAUGUGGAGGAAUACCGAUGGCGAAGGCAGCCCCCUGGGAUAACACUGACGCUCAUGCACGAAAGCGUGGGGAGCAAACAGGAUUAGAUACCCUGGUAGUCCACGCCCUAAACGAUGUCAACUAGUUGUCGGGUCUUAAUUGACUUGGUAACGCAGCUAACGCGUGAAGUUGACCGCCUGGGGAGUACGGUCGCAAGAUUAAAACUCANNGAAUUGACGGGGANCCGCACAAGCGGUGGAUGAUGUGGAUUAAUUCGAUGCAACGCGAAAAACCNUACC
rnacentral:rRNA from 1 species